GACGAACGCUGGCGGCGUGCUUAACACAUGCAAGUCGAACGAAGUGGCGAACGGGUGAGUACGCGUAAUCAAACUGCCCUUCAGAGGGGGACAACAGUUGGAAACGACUGCUAAUACCGCAUACUGAAGGAGGGGAUUGCGUAUGUUUAGCUAGUUGGAUGGGUAACGGCCCACCAAGGCGCUGAUCAGCAGCCGGUCUGAGAGGGUGAACGACCAAAAUGGGAACUGGACAAGGCCCAGAAUUCUACGGGAGGCAACAGUGGGGAAACUUCCGAAAUGGACGAAAGUCUGGAGGAGCAAAGGCGCGUGAGAGAUGACGGCCUUCGGGUUGUAAAGCUCUGUUAAUCGGGACGCGGUACCGGAAUAGAAAGCCACGGCUAACUACGUGCCAGCAGCCGCGGUAAUAC
rnacentral:rRNA from 1 species